CCUGAGAAACCCAAAAGAUCGAAUGAGGAGAUUCAUCGUCAGCUGCUUUGGCUUCCGUGUGGUGCGCGAUGAUCAGGGCCUUGUGUUCUGCGUCACGCGCCCACUGCGGUAUGUCCGAAAUAGUCGGCGUGCACUUCUCCUCUAGUAGGACGUCGCGACCCGUUGGGUGCUGGUCUACGGCUCGGUAGGUCGACUGGCGAGUCGCGUUCACGCGCGUACUCGUCAGACCUCUGAAUGCCCGACCGGCUGCCCGGCGGUAUAGAACGAUAAUUAAACGGUAUUGGGCCGCAUCAAGUGCGUUCAGGCUCGUCGACAGGCUCGCCUCGCUCGGAUUUACGGACCUAGUGCCGUUGCCGGGUGCUUGGCGUGGCCGUUGGUCGGCGGUGUCCUCGGACUGGCUCUUUAUAUUCGAACGGAUAUACCGGUCGGCGACGCUACUGCUUUGGGUACUUUCAGGAC
rnacentral:rRNA from 1 species